UACGUAGGGACCAAGCGUUGUUCGGAUUUACUGGGCGUAAAGGGCUCGUAGGUGGCCGACUAAGUCAGACGUGAAAUCCCUCGGCUUAACCGGGGAACUGCGUCUGAUACUGGAUGGCUUGAGUUUGGGAGAGGGAUGCGGAAUUCCAGGUGUAGCGGUGAAAUGCGUAGAUAUCUGGAGGAACACCGGUGGCGAAGGCGGCAUCCUGGACCAACACUGACACUGAGGAGCGAAAGCCAGGGGAGCAGACGGG
rnacentral:rRNA from 1 species